rnacentral:lncRNA from 1 species
CCAAUUGAUCGGGCAAAUGGAUUUAUGUGAGCCGAUCCAUUUAAUCUCUCUCUUAAAAUCUAAGUGGGGUGACUCAAUCACUAUGCUUCUUCCUCUUCUUUUCAUUCCAAACUGAAAAUACUUCUUCUAGCUCUCCACCGAUCACAAAUCUAUCCAAAAAUCUUGGAUAUCUAUCUUAAAUUCUAGGGCAAACAUAUUCUCUCAGCAUAUCCUUAAUCAAAACCAUCUCCCUCUUACUCUCCAUCAA